GUGCUCACUUUGGCAGCACAUAUACUAAAAUUGGAACGAUACAGAGAAGAUUAGCAUGGCCCCUGCGCAAAGAUGGAACACAAAUUCAUGAAGCGUUCCAUAAUUUU
rnacentral:snRNA from 1 species